rnacentral:rRNA from 1 species
AUUGAACGCUGGCGGCAGGCCUAACACAUGCAAGUCGAGCGGAUGAAGGGAGCUUGCUCCUGGAUUCAGCGGCGGACGGGUGAGUAAUGCCUAUGAAUCUGCCUGGUAGUGGGGGAUAACGUCCGGAAACGGGCGCUAAUACUGCAUACGUCCAGAGGGAGAAAGAGGGGGAUCUUCGGACCUCACGCUAUCAGAUGAGCCUAGGUCGGAUUAGCUAGUUGGUGGGGUAAAGGCCUACCAAGGCGACGAUCCGUAACUGGUCUGAGAGGAUGAUCAGUCACACUGGAACUGGGACACGGUCCGGACUCCUACGGGAGGCAGCAGUGGGGAAUAUUGGACAAUGGGCGAAAGCCUGAUCCAGCCAUGCCGCGUGUGUGAAGAAGGUCUUCGGAUUGUAAAGCACUUUGAGUUGGGAGAAAGGGCAGUAAGUUAAUACGUUGCUGUUUUGACGUUACCAAAAGAAUAAGCACCGGCUAACUUCGUG